rnacentral:rRNA from 1 species
CCUACGGGAGGCAGCAGUGAGGAAUAUUGGUCAAUGGGCGGAAGCCUGAACCAGCCAAGUCGCGUGAGGGAUUAAGGCCCUGCGGGUCGUAAACCUCUUUUGCCGGGGAGCAGUGGUCCGGACGCGUCCGGACCGGGAGAUUACCCGGAGAAAAAGCAUCGGCUAACUCCGUGCCAGCAGCCGCGGUAAUACGGAGGAUGCGAGCGUUAUCCGGAUUUAUUGGGUUUAAAGGGAGCGUAGAUGGGUUGUUAAGUCAGUUGUGAAAGUUUGCGGCUCAACCGUAAAAUUGCAAUUGAUACUGGCAGUCGUGAGUACAGUUGAGGUAGGCGGAAUUCGUGGUGUAGCGGUGAAAUGCUUAGAUAUCACGAAGAACCCCGAGUGCGAAGGCAGCCUGCCGCAGCGUUACUGACGCUGAAGCUCGAAAGCGCGGGUAUCGAACAGGAUUAGAUACCCCAGUAGUC